rnacentral:rRNA from 1 species
CCUACGGGUGGCAGCAGUGGGGAAUAUUGCACAAUGGGGGAAACCCUGAUGCAGCGACGCCGCGUGAGUGAAGAAGUAUUUCGGUAUGUAAAGCUCUAUCAGCAGGGAAGAAAAUGACGGUACCUGACUAAGAAGCCCCGGCUAACUACGUGCCAGCAGCCGCGGUAAUACGUAGGGGGCAAGCGUUAUCCGGAUUUACUGGGUGUAAAGGGAGCGUAGACGGCAGCACAAGUCUGGAGUGAAAUGCCGGGGCUUAACCCCGGAACUGCGUUGGAAACUGUGCAGCUAGAGUGCAGGAGAGGUAAGUGGAAUUCCUGGUGUAGCGGUGAAAUGCGUAGAUAUGAGGAGGAACACCAGUGGCGAAGGCGGCUUACUGGACUGUAACUGACGUUGAGGCUCGAAAGCGUGGGGAGCAAACAGGAUUAGAUACCCUUGUAGUC